GCCAAAUAACUAGCUUAAUUAUAACAUAAACUAACAAUAUAAAUAAUACCAGAUAAACUAAACAACAAAAAUUAAACCAUUCUUUUAUUUUAGUAUGGGCGACAGAAACAUUAUUAUAAAGCAAUAGAAAAAGUACCGCAAGGGAAAGCUGAAAGAGAAAUGAAAUAAUCCAUACAAGCACCAAAAAGCAAAGACUAAACCUUGUACCUUUUGCAUCAUGAUUUAGCAAGUAUAUUUAAGCAAAGAGAACUUUAGUUUAAAAUCCCGAAACCAGGUGAGCUACCCCGAGACAGCCUACUUAGGGCAAACCCGUCUCUGUGGCAAAAGAGUGGAAAGAACUCCGGGUAGAGGUGACAGACCUACCGAACCUGGUGAUAGCUGGUUGCCUAAGAAAUAAAUAAAAGUUUAGCCUUAUUUACCUUAAAUCAAAUAUUAAAUUUAAGACUUAAAGAAAAACAUAAGAGUUAAUUAAAGGGGGUACAGCCCCUUUAAUCAAGGACACAACCUUUUCAGGAGGAUAAAGAUCAUAAUAUAUAAAACACAUACUACUAGUGGGCCUAAAAGCAGCCACCAAAACAGAAAGCGUUAAAGCUCGGACAAAUAAAGUUUAUUAUACUGAUAACAAAUCUUAAUCCCCUAUUUAAUAUUAGGCCAAUCUAUAUUAAUAUAGAAAAGACUAUGCUAAAAUGAGUAACAAGAAGGAUACGCCCUUCUCCCCAGCACAAGUGUAAACCAAAUCGGACUAACCAUUGACAAUUAACGAACUCAACCCAAGAGAGCAAUGCAAAUUAUAAGACCAGGAAAAAAUCCGCAACAAACUAUCGUUAACCCCACACCGGAGUGCUACUAAAGGAAAGACUAAAAGAAAAGGAAGGAACUCGGCAAACAUAAACCUCGCCUGUUUACCAAAAACAUCGCCUCCCGCAAUAAAAUUAAAUAUAGGAGGUCCAACCUGCCCAGUGACUACAAGUUUAACGGCCGCGGUAUCUUGACCGUGCAAAGGUAGCGCAAUCACUUGUCUUUUAAAUAAAGACCUGUAUGAAUGGUUAAACGAAGGCUUAACUGUCUCCCUUUUCAAGUCAGUGAAAUUGAUCUAUCCGUGCAGAAGCGGGUAUAAUAAUACAAGACGAGAAGACCCUUUGGAGCUUAAGGCAUAAACUCAAUCACGUCAAACAACUCAACAAAAAGUAACUAUCAUAAACCUUAUGACAAAUGAGACAUCUGCCUUCGGUUGGGGCGACCACGGAGGAAAAAAAAGCCUCCGAGUGGAAUGGGGUAAUUCCCUAAACUAAGAGAUACAUCUCUAAGUCACAAAACAUUUGACCAUAAUGAUCCGGCUAACCAUAGCCGAUCAACGAACCAAGUUACCCUAGGGAUAACAGCGCAAUCCUCUCCCAGAGUCCAUAUCAAAAAGAGGGUUUACGACCUCGAUGUUGGAUCAGGACAUCCUGAUGGUGCAGCCGCUAUUAAGGGUUCGUUUGUUCAACGAUUAAAGUCCUACGCGAUCUGAGUUCAGACCGGAGUAAUCCAGGUCAGUUUCUAUCUGUAAACGCUACUUUUCCUAGUACGAAAGGAAUGGAAAAAGGGGGCCCAUACCUAAGGCACGCCCCACUCCUAAUUUAUGAGAAUAAAUAAAUUAAUUAAAGGAAGGGCCAACAAUCCCAACCGCCCCAGAGAAGGGCAU
rnacentral:rRNA from 1 species